rnacentral:rRNA from 1 species
AACGAACGCUGGCGGCGUGCUUAACACAUGCAAGUCGAACGAAGAGCGAUGGAAGCUUGCUUCUAUCACUCUUAGUGGCGAACGGGUGAGUAACGCGUAAUCAACCUGCCCUUCAGAGGGGGACAACAGUUGGAAACGACUGCUAAUACCGCAUACGAUCUAAUCUCGGCAUCGAGGAUAGAUGAAAGGUGGCCCCUACAUGUAAGCUAUCACUGAAGGAGGGGAUUGCGUCUGAUUAGCUAGUUGGAGGGGUAACGGCCCACCAAGGCGAUGAUCAGUAGCCGGUCUGAGAGGAUGAACGGCCACAUUGGGACUGAGACACGGCCCAGACUCCUACGGGAGGCAGCAGUGGGGAAUCUUCCGCAAUGGACGAAAGUCUGACGGAGCAACGCCGCGUGAGUGAUGACGGCCUUCGGGUUGUAAAGCUCUGUUAAUCGGGACGAAAGGCCUUCUUGCGAAUAGGGAGAAGGAUUGACGGUACCGGAAUAGAAAGCCACGGCUAACUACGUG